rnacentral:rRNA from 1 species
GGAUUAGAUACCCUGGUAGUCCACGCCCUAAACGAUCUCGACUAGCUGUUGGGUUCAUAAAAGAACUUAGUGGCGCAGCUAACGCGUUAAGUCGACCGCCUGGGGAGUACGGCCGCAAGGCUAAAACUCAAAGGAAUUGACGGGGGCCCGCACAAGCGGUGGAGCAUGUGGUUUAAUUCGAUGCAACGCGAAGAACCUUACCAGGUCUUGACAUCCUCGGAACUUAGCAGAGAUGCUUUGGUGCCUUCGGGAAUCGAGAGACAGGUGCUGCAUGGCUGUCGUCAGCUCGUGUUG